UGAGCAGCACGGGUGAUCGCGCCGUAAGGUGAGGAAAGUCCGGGCUUCACAGGGCAGAGUGCCGGAUAACGUCCGGUGGAGGCGACUCCAAGGAAAGUGCAACAGAAAAGAAACCGCCCGCUUUGCGGGUAAGGGUGGAAUGGCGGUGUAAGAGACCACCGCUUCUCUGGUAACAGGGAAGGCUGUGUAAACCCCACUCGAAGCAAGACCAAGCGUAAGGACAUAUGGCGGCCCGUCAUCAGUGCCUUCAGGUAGGUUGCGUUCUAUGGGUGUAAGCCCAUGGAGGAGCUGCAUGGCAACAUGCAGUCAAGAUAGAUGAUCAUCCAAGACAUAACCCGGCUUAUAGUGUUGCUCACAUU
rnacentral:RNase_P_RNA from 1 species